rnacentral:rRNA from 1 species
AGAAUCAACGCUGGCGGCGUGCCUAACACAUGCAAGUCGCACGAGAAAGGGUAGCAAUACCCUGAGUAAAGUGGCGCACGGGUGAGUAACACGUGACUAACCUACCCUUGAGUGGGGGAUAACUGAGGGAAACCUUAGCUAAUACCGCAUAAUACCCACGGGUCAAAGGAGCAAUUCGCUCGAGGAGGGGGUCGCGGCCGAUUAGUUAGUUGGCGGGGUAAUGGCCCACCAAGACGAUGAUCGGUAUCCGGCCUGAGAGGGCGCACGGACACACUGGAACUGAAACACGGUCCAGACUCCUACGGGAGGCAGCAGUGGGGAAUUUGCGCAAUGGGGGAAACCCUGACGCAGCAACGCCGCGUGGAGGAUGAAGUCCUUCGGGACGUAAACUCCUUUCGAUCGGGACGAUUAUGACGGUACCGGAAGAAGAAGCCCGGCUAACUUCGCGCCAGCAGCCGC